GCUAACUUAUUGCAAGGUUUCUGUUUUUUCAGAUUCGUGGAUGUACGUGUUGCAUUUUGGCUUAGUGGACAGAAGAUUCAGGAGAGUGGAAUUUUUAUUCUGCUUUCACAAUGAUGGUGUAUAAACUGGAACAAGUCACUAAGUAUUUUACCUUUAAGUCUUUGUAUAAAAUAUACUACAUGCAAGGGUGACUUGGCUCACAAUUUGUUACCCAUGGACUGCCAAGUUUCGUUUGGCUGAUUGACCGACUUGGCCAACCAGUUGUAGAAAACAUCAUCUAAGCAAGCUUCAAAAUCAAGGGGAUGCAGAGAAAUAGAGAUGCUGAACAAUAACCAACAGCCUGUUUGGGAAUGUCCUCAAAGAUGUCAUCCAUGAAGUAGCCUAAUGAAACACCAGAAUAUGGAGCUAGGUACCAAAGGACAGAAGCAGGGAAGAUAUCAGAAGGGGCUGAAACUGCAGCUGUGUACCUCAUGGGACCUAAAUCUAUAAGCCUCUUCAUCAACUGGGAUAAACUUGACUUCUUAUCAUCAAUGGCAACAUCACUUGUUAUUAGUUCCCUAUUAAACAUGUCUGGUCAACAAAUUGUGUCAGCAGAAAUUGACAUUCUGAGAGUUUGUCACCAAUAACCAGCUGGAGUUGACCACAGCCAAUUAGCUCCAAGCUAUUCACAGCCUCAGUGGUGAUCUGCACAGACACUGGGAAAUGUUCCCAGGUGCUUUGGGAUCAAGUCUCCUAUGCGUUUUAAAGCCAGUUGGGCCUGUCCACCAAUGGUGUCAUCAAGGAGAUGUAUAAGUGAAUGAUGGAAUUCCAUCAAUUGGAGCUUCUAGGAUAGUGUUUGUUGUCCUCACAAUGUUUAUUCUCAGCACUCUACUUCUCAGGUUCCAAGUUCAUAAAGAAGACAUUAAAAACAAAACAAAACAAAAUUCCACUGCUUUACUUACAGAGUCCUCAAUCCAUAUAGACUGGUAAUACCAUCCACAAAACAGGCCUAAUCUCUCCUAGAUCAAUAGAGGUCAACUCCAAGAAUAUAAUAUCUAAAAUUGAGUCAUCAAUAUUUCUUGUUGCAGUAAAGACUGACAGUCAAGUAAUUUUUUUUGGAAACUACUGGUUGGGGCUGGAGGGAAAUGACAGUACUUAUGUGCACAUAAAGUAUUUUUGCAGCUUAUCCUCAGGUGACUUCUUGGAAGCUGAUGCCUGUGGACUUAUAGAAGCUCUGUUUUUUCAUCAAGUCCUUAGGAAAGCCAAAUUUCAAUUGCCACUUAGAGUUCCCAGAACUUGAAAGUGCCAGCCCCUAUAUUUCCAUAAUUCACUCAGACUCUCAUCCAAUAUGAAAUGCAAGGGACUAAUGUCUAAUGACAGUUUUUUUUUCACCUGGGAAAUACUAGCUUUCACUUGCUUGAGAAGUUCAAGAUGAAGGGGAAACAAAGCCUUCCUCCUGAUAGCAGAAACUCAUGGAAAUGUGAAUCCCUCGGUCUAGCCAGCGGUGAAAAGCAUCAGCAUAACUGUAGCCUUAGACCCAAAUUAAAACCAUCAGCUCAGCCUGACUGUGAUGUGGCCAUAACAUUUCACCACAUUAAAUGUGUGAUAACUGUGCAUGAACAGAGAAUCACUGGAUGACCUGAUGAAGUAGAGUCACACAGAGGUCCAUAUGGCACAAAAUUGUGGAUGGCCUCUAGGACCUGAGUACAGUCUCCAGCAGACAGCUUGCAAAAGCCAGAGCUCUCCAUCACAUAGCUGCGAGGAAAUGAAUUCUGCCAAUAGCCCAAAUAAGCUUGGAAGUAGGUUCCUCCCACAGGUGAAAAAGGAGCCUCGCUGACACCCAGCUUACAGUCCUUUGUGAUCUGGAGCAGGGGACCAUGCUCUGCUGGGCCUGGACUUCUGAUCCCAGGAACCUGAGACAGCAAAGGCAGGUACUGUUUCCAGCUGCUGUAUUUGUGAUAAUCUGUCACCGCACCAGUGGAACACCCAUACGCUGCCGUGAACCGUGUUUCUAUUCUUCUGCCUUGUUUCAGCACCUUGCUAACCUUCGGAACUCUGAUAACUAAGCAGGGCGUGAAGUUAAAGAGUUCUGGCCAUUAUCUUAAGAAAUGAUCUCAAAAGUUUUCAGAGUUUUGCCCAUGAGUUGAGGGAAAUCACCUUGAUGUCUUGUGUCUAAGAUGUCAGUGGUCAUAUAAGAAUUAUGACAGCCAACCAUCUCUGAAGUAGGUUGAUUCAAAUUCUGCCCAGUAGGAUAUUAACAGACGCCACCAAUGUCUUGCACAGAUCACUCCCCACUCAUGUGGGCCUAUUCACCCCACAAAUUCCUGCUACCAGUGCUUGUGACCCUAGCAGUUACUGCCCUGAUGUAUGAUCAAUUCAAGGGUGGAGCAGGCCAAAUCUUUCUGGGGAAUUAACCUCUCUGGGAAUAUCCCUUAGGCAAUGGUAGAUGGAAUGGGAAGAUAAGCGCCCCAGGUUCCUUGGUCCUCAAGUGCAGCCAUUCUAGGGAGCAUUUUGUAGCAUUUCCCACAAGUGUCCAGGGGGACUGAGACCUGGGUCCCAAAAUGAUAGCCUACACCUUAACACACUCUCUAUUGGUUCUUUCCCUUCCUGGCUCACUUCUCAGCCAUUACCUGUGGUUCCUGCAAUCUCCUCUCCAAGUAAGUGAUUUGAAUGAAUUACUUUUCUCAGGGUCUGCUUCUGGGUGAACUCAGCCAAAGAGGUACAAACAUUCUGUGUUAGAUAGACAUUUUGUAGAAACCCAAUUACAGACAAAAAUAAGCACAGAGGUUGUCUUAAAGAGUGCCCCUAAAAUGUUCUGGGCAAAGUGUAUGCAAAAAGAGAAAUACACUUACAAGAAAUGUGACUGGUUCUCUUCAUUAAACUCAGUAUUUACUAGCCAAACCUUGAUGAAUAAUUUGACCCCCAAAUACAAAUACUAGAAAGAUUGUGUUGGAUGAUAGACACUGAUAUUCUCCACUGGACAGUUAUCUCCCCUGUUGUGAACUUAUCUGCUAGCAUUCUGAUUUAUAUAUUAGUCUCUUAAGUUUGGUUAUUGUGAGUCAGUUUCAAACAUCCUGUUAAUUUGGGCAGCAAUCACUGUUUACUGAACUUAUCAUAGUGAUCAUUUCACAGAAAACAUGAAUAUUGAAUCAUUAUGUUGU